GGCAUCUAGAUCUAGGUAGGUUACAGUAUAUGGUCUUUUGUGAAAUUUUGAGAAUUUAGCAGAGUAGGGAGCAAUUAAAAUAGGGAAAAGUGACACUAAUCUGUUGGUCUUGAGUUGGUUUAAAAAGAAAUUGAUAUUAAAAUAUAAAAAAAUUGAAGAUGUUAUUAUUUUUAAAUACUAUAAGAUGAAGUGUUCAUUAGUGUACACAGCUGGGAAUGAUGUUCAUUAAUGUUAGCGCUGGACCUCAUUGACCUGACCCUCUUCAACAUCAUAUUUGAUUGUAACUAUGCGUAGCGUAAAAAGCAAUAUAUAAUAUCUAUUUUUAUUGACAAUUGGAUGACAAGUUUAUAGAUGUUUCCAGUUUUUUUUCCUAGGACUAACCUAUAAAAAUUCAAACAUUAAAAUUGCUGCGACAACGCUUAACUUGUUCGGAUGAUGAAAAAUAUAUAUCUAUUUCAUUCGUCCAACCAUCAUCAUCUGAUGAUGACCACUUGUCACUGUGUAUGUAAAUGUCAUCCAGGGCCAGGGAGCUGUCUGAGUUACGCUGGGAGUGAUUGAGUGCUUGCUGCUUUGCACUGUUGAUGGUGUUUUCUGCCUCCUCAUAUAGUCAUAUAUUCGAAAUGUAGCCGCUCAUGAGCAGGGUGACAUGUGGCCAGCAUAAUGACCAACCAAAUUCAGGUGUAUGACUAUGUAGCCUACCUGUUACUACUGUUAGUGUUGGAUGGACUAAGAGUCAGAGGCUGAUUUAAAAUCCAGAAAUUAAAUUCAAAAUCCCAGUCUUCACUGAGAUUCGAAUCAAGGACCUCAUGCCCUUGUCAUGCCUUGUUUAGAAGCCAAGGGCUUAACCACUCAGCCACAGCGCCCCCUAAGUCUAAGUUAAGUCUUAAGUGAUAACAGGUUAAAUUUUGUAUUUUUUUCUUCCAUGGCAAAUGGGAGAAUUAGUGAUGAGUAACUUAGGUCACUUUAAAAAAUAUAUAGAUUCUCUCAAUAUUUUCCAUUUAAUACACAUUAAUUCAAAGCACAAAACUCUUCAGUAGACCAGUUAAUUAGCUUAAACCAUAAAAUGUAAGCAUUCUGAAUUGUUUGUAAAAUAUUGGCAGUUCAGUUUUAUCUAUUUUAUUGGUGGAAGUGUUUGACUUUAAGAAUUUGAUGAGGCCUGCUUUACUGAUAAAAUCAUCUUAGGACUUUGUGAUUAUUGCGGCACUUUAGUCCAUUUUAUAACUUUAGUAUGCAAAUUUAUAUUUUAUUGAAAUUUACUCCUUUUUUUAUUUUUUUUAAUAGGAAUAGCCAUUAUUGUAUUUGCAUUACCACAAGAUGCCAUGUAACGAAACUGGAUU